rnacentral:rRNA from 1 species
AUUAUUGGGCGUAAGAGCUCGUAGGCGGUUUGUCGCGUCUGCUGUGAAAACCCGAGGCUCAACCUCGGGCCUGCAGUGGGUACGGGCAGACUAGAGUGCGGUAGGGGAGAUUGGAAUUCCUGGUGUAGCGGUGGAAUGCGCAGAUAUCAGGAGGAACACCGAUGGCGAAGGCAGAUCUCUGGGCCGUAACUGACGCUGAGGAGCGAAAGGGUGGGGAGCAAACAGGCUUAGAUACCCUGGUAGUCCACCCCGUAAACGUUGGGAACUAGUUGUGGGGUCCAUUCCACGGAUUCCGUGACGCAGCUAACGCAUUAAGUUCCCCGCCUGGGGAGUACGGCCGCAAGGCUAAAACUCAAAGGAAUUGACGGGGACCCGCACAAGCGGCGGAGCAUGCGGAUUAAUUCGAUGCAACGCGAAGAACCUUACCAAGGCUUGACAUAUACGAGAACGCUGCAGAAAUGUAGAACUCUUUGGACACUCGUAAACAGGUGGUGCAUGGUUGUCGUCAGCUCGUGUCGUGAGAUGUUGGGUUAAGUCCCGCAACGAGCGCAACCCUCGUUCUAUGUUGCCAGCACGUAAUGGUGGGAACUCAUGGGAUACUGCCGGGGUCAACUCGGAGGAAGGGUGGGGGAUGACGUCAAAUCAUCAUGCCCCUUAUGUCUUGGGCUUCACGCAUGCUACAAUGGCCGGUACAAAGGGCUGCAAUACCGCAAAGUGGAGCGAAUCCCAAAAAGCCGGUCCCAGUUCGGAAUGAGGUCUGCAACUCGACCUCAUGAAGUCGGAGUCGCUAGUAAUCGCAGAUCAGCAACGCUGCGGUGAAUACGUUC